rnacentral:lncRNA from 1 species
UUUUUUUUUUUUUUUUUUAAUCUUUCUUCUCUGCUUGACUAUUUUUCAAAAUAUUUAUCACUGUCUAGGACUUCCUGUUGUGGCUCAGUGGGUUAAGAACCUGACUAGUAUCCAUGAGGAUGCAGGUUUGAUCCCUGGCCUUUCUUGGUAGGUUAAGGAUCCAGCGCUGUCAUGAGCUGUGGUAUAGGUCGCAGAUAUAGGUCUGUGGUGCAGGCUGGCUGCUGCAGCUCCAAAUUGACCCCUAGACCUGGAACUUCCAUACGCCACAGUUUCCCUGAAAAUAAAUAAAUAAAAUACUUAUUAAUAUUUAUAAAACAUAUAUGUUAAUUUGUUUGUCUUCAGUACUAGAACGUAAGCUUAAUGAGAGUAGGAACUUUUGUUUCAUUCAUCAUUCCAUCCACGGCAUUGAAAAUUGCACAUUGAGGCACCCCAAAUAUUUGUUGAAUGAAGAAAUGGAUGAAUAUAACUGUAAAAAAUCAUUAUAAUUUACAUAAAAUAAUAAAGCAAUUAAACUAUACUGAUUUAUCUUUCUAAAUACACAGGAAUUUUUAAAAAAUUCCUAUAAAACUCAUGAUAAUAAACCUAAUCUUUAGAAAAGAACAAAAAACAAAGAAUAAAUGAAUGAAUCUUUUAAUAACUAUCCAAUUGAGUUGAAAGAUGUUUUUAUUUUUUUCUUAAUUGAACUGGAAGACCUUUAAAAUCUCUUAAAAGCUGAACUCACAUUACAAUCUUAAAAACAUGGGAAAAUAUACAAACAAAUACAAUCCAAAAAGCAAACACACACAAAGACAAUGAGGGAUACACACCAGGAUAACACAAUAGCUGAAAAUGGUGUAUUCCAAUGGCAAAUAAUGUUUAAGAUUUCAUGGACAAUUUAAUUUGGCUCACACUGAAAAUAACAUAACUUAGCUUAUAUAACUAUUUUAAUAACUAAAGUUAUUUCACAGACCAUUUACUGGUCUUCACCUCAAUUAUUCAAGUCCAAAAAGAACUAGUGAUUAGUAACUCCAUUAUUAAGGGUCAGAAUGGACUGCCCAGUUUUAUGUAAAAGUCUCUACAGUCUAAGUAAAUACGUCUGUGAUUUUAUUCACUGUGGUGGUUUCACAACAGAGUAAAUUACGGUUCCUUUGAGAAUGUUGAAAAGACAUAUUUCAAAGCAUAUUUAUAGACCUGGAUGAUAUUCAAAAGGAAGAUGAUACAUGUGACUGAUUCUCAAUCUCUAAAGAGCACUUGAUUUUAGCGUGUUUUUUUUUUUUUUUUUUUUUUUUUCCCAAUACUGAUAGUGAGUUGGUGGUUACCAAUCAAAUGUUUCUAAUGACUUGUGACAAACCAUGAGUUUGGGAAGGAGGGCUGGUCAAAGUCACAGGUGUAGGCUUUGGUCUUGAAUGAGAGUGCAACUAAUUGGCCCCUGUAGGAAUUGAACCUGCAACCUCAGACUCAUUAAUUCCACAGGAAAGCAAACUCCUCUAAGCAGACCAAAACUUACCAGUUUUCUUCAAAAUGUGAUUCAUGUCUAGUUGGCAUUAGUAUUUAAAAAAAAAAUAAAAUCUUAUGUUUUUCUAAUUAUUUGAUUAUUCAAGGAGAAAGAAUUUGAGGUAGAUAUAGGGAGAAAAAUAUCAGGAGACAGCAAAAUAUCAUGUGUGAUUUGAGUUCAUUUUUUGCAAAAAGAUGUGAGUAUAUGCAGAAAAGAAUACACCUCAGCAUUUAUAAGAGUGGUUUUCUAUGAAUGGUAGAAUUUAGCAAGUUUCUGUUUUAUAAUUUCUAUAGUUUUUGACUCUUUGUAAUUAGUAUAUUUGUUUUAGAAAUAAAUGCUGUGCUCUGUGUGUCUGAACAACAAGGCAUUUCUUUUCAAGGAGAAAAACAAAUAUCCAUUUUGAUUUUUAAAACACGUUGGACAUCCUUUCAGAGCACGUAACGCCAUCUGACCUGUUAUCUAAUUACAGGCAUCCCUUCGGCUUCGCGGAGGAUUGGUUCAGGGACCUGCCAAUGAUACCAAAAUCCACCACACUCAAGGCCGGUAGUAGACCUUCAUAUCUGCAGUUUCCACAUCUGCAGAUACCAAAGGCGAAUUGUAUUGAAAAAAAUCUGCAUAUUAAGUGAACCUGCACAGUUCAAACCCAUGUUGUUCAGGGGUUAACCGAAUUUAGUCGUCUGAGCUAAACUGUGAGCUCCUUGAAGAGUUGAAGAGCAGUCCUUUACUUUCCAUCAACACGGCCCUGUUCUUAGCAGAGGGCAUAGCACAUGGCACAGUACAGAUACUCAAUAGAUUCCAGGUGGUUAUUUGGCGUCUUACUUUCACCCACUGUCCUCUUUCUCCCCUAUCUGGCUCUAGUUGAAUUACUUUCACUUCUGCAAGGGGCCAUAACAUCUUUAAGAUACUGUGGGACAAAAGUUGAAGUGUGGUCAGGCAUCGCAAUAAAAAAUAAUUUAGGGUCAAAAAGGUGUCAUUUGGCAAAGUCAGUUGAGCCCCUACUAGAAUCUCUCUAAAGAUUGGUUCACAUAUGUAACAAUAAAAUAAUGGAAGUUUAGGGUGCAGGAGGGUCCGGGGAGUGGAAGGCAUCAGAUUUAGUAGUGAAGGGUGUGUAUGAGAUGAGGAAUUGAAGAGCCAUUUCAAUUUAACUAUAUAGCAAAGGGCUGGGAUCUUUCUAUUGUGUUUCUUUUGUAUCUCACUGAAAACAUGACUGGUGGUUUUUUUGUUUGUUUGUUUUUUUAGGGCUGCACCCUAAAAAAAAAGGCAUAUGGAAGUUCCCAGGCUAGAGGUCAAAUCCCAGCUACAGCUGCCGGCCACAGCCACAGCAACUUGGGCUCCAAGCCUUGUUUGUGACAUACACCGCAGCUCAUGGCAACGCUGGAUCAUGAACCCAUUGAGUGAGGCCAGGGAUUGAACCCAUAUCCUCAUGGAUACUAGUCGGAUUCAUUUCUGCUGCACCACAACGGGAACUCCCAAACCUGACAAUUUCUAGCCUGGAACACAGCAGGUGGAACUAAGAUUUAUAUUUAAUAAGUUUAGGUAGUUCACUUGAUGUGAUUUUGGAAGUUCAACCAAGUUUCUGUUCUGUGACAGCCUCCUUGCCUCCCCCGGGGAAAUUAGGGGCUCCCCAAUUUCCUGUUCCCAUCUGGUACCCCCCCCCUACUCUUGCUAAUGCCUGCUAGUGUUCUCAGAGCCACACCCUCACUUUCCUCCAGGAGAGGCUCUAGGACAUCUACGUGGGAGAAAAUGAAAGGAAACAUCCUGGUUGGAAUUGGGAACAAGGGUGUUUCUUGAAGCACCCUAUACACAGCACAUAUACACAGUAUGGAUAUUGUUCUUACAUGGAUACUAUUUGUUUUCACGCAGGUAGUUUGGGGUUAGCAACACCAAAUGGCCACCUGCCUUCAUGUUCUAUCCAUUAAGGAAUGGCUGCAUCAUAACGGGCAAACUACUUAACUUUCUGUGCCUAACUUUUCCAUUUGUGGAAAUGCAAAAAAUAACAAUUUUACAUUCCUAAUAAGGUUGUUGGGAGGAGCAUGUGGACAAAGUAUCUUCAACAAGUGCCUAGUACAUGGCAAUUGCCAUG